UUAAUUGAAACCAAAAAGAGGUAAAUCACUGUUAAUGAUUAAAUUGAGGACCAUCCUCCAAUUAAA
rnacentral:tRNA from 1 species